rnacentral:rRNA from 1 species
UACGUAGGGGGCGAGCGUUAUCCGGAAUUACUGGGCGUAAAGCGUGCGCAGGCGGUUCGCUGUGUCCUGUGUGAAAGCCCCGGGCUUAACCUGGGAAUGGCAUGGGAAACUGGCGGGCUGGAGUGUGGCAGAGGGGGGUGGAAUUCCGCGUGUAGCAGUGAAAUGCGUAGAGAUGCGGAGGAACACCGAUGGCGAAGGCAGCCCCCUGGGCUAACACUGACGCUCAGGCACGAAAGCGUGGGGAGCAAACAGG